rnacentral:rRNA from 1 species
AUUGAACGCUGGCGGCAGGCCUAACACAUGCAAGUCGAACGAGUGGCGGACGGGUGAGUAAUGUCUGGGAAACUGCCCGAUGGAGGGGGCUAACUACUGGAAACGGUAGCUAAUACCGCAUACCAUCGGAUGUUCCCAGAUGGGAUUAGCUAGUAGGUGGGGUAACGGCUCACCAAGGCGACGAUCCCUAGCUGGUCUGAGAGGAUGACCAGCCACUCUGGAACUGGAAAACGGUCCGACCUCCUACGGGAGGCAGCGGGGGGGAAUAUUGCACAAUGGGCGCAGGCCUGAUGCAGCCAUGCCGCGUGUAUGAAGAAGGCCUUCGGGUUUUAAAGUACUUUCAGCGAGGAGGCGUUACUCGCAGAAGAAGCACCGGCUAACUCCGUGCCAGCAGCCGCGGUAAUAC